UUGGUGUGGUGAGAAUGAGGGAGGAAUGGGCUAUUUAUAGAAGCCCCAAAUUUUUUUUUUCCAAAAUACCCCUCAAUUCAGCCGUUAUUGGACUGUUGGGAGGGGUAAAAGGGUCAUUUUCACGAAAAUAGCCGUUGAAAACGGCUAUUUUCCUCCCCCCUCUCCAGACGGGCCCUGCCUAGCACGGCCCGUUAUCGCCCGUUACGAGCCGUGCCUGGCACGGCCCGUGGCGUGCCGUGCCCGGCCCGGCCCACCAAUAGAGGGGCCUGGGGCCGGGCCGGGCUGGUGUUCCGUGCUGGACGGGCCGUGCCAGG
rnacentral:lncRNA from 1 species